rnacentral:tRNA from 1 species
UCCCUGGAGGACUAGUGGAUAGGCCACGGCGCACUCAUUGCCGUGACCUGGGUUCGGGUCCCAGCCAGGGAA